GGUGCAGUGGCGAAGUGGGAACGCUGCGGUCUGCAAAACCGCCACGAACCGGUUCGAUUCCGGUCUGCACCUCCA
rnacentral:tRNA from 1 species